rnacentral:rRNA from 1 species
GGAUCGUACAUACUACAUGGAUAACUGUAGUAAUUCUAGAGCUAAUACAUGCCACUAAGCCCUGACCCGCAAGGGGACGGGUGGAUUUAUUAGAACAGAACCAACCGGUUGUGGCUUCGGUCAUGGCCGUUGUACUCUGUGAUGACUCUGGAUAACUUUACUGAUCGCAGUCGGCCUUGUGUCGGCGACGGAUCUUUCAAAUGUCUGCCCUAUCAAUUGUCGAUGGUAGGUGACCUGCCUACCAUGGUGAUAACGGGUAACGGGGAAUCAGGGUUCGAUUCCGGAGAGGGAGCCUGAGAAACGGCUACCACUUCUAAGGAAGGCAGCAGGCACGCAAAUUACCCAAUCCCGGCACGGGGAGGUAGUGACGAUAAAUACGGAUACGGGACUCAAAAGAGGCUCCGUAAUUCGAAUGAGUACAAUUUAAAUCCUUUAACGAGGACCAACUGGAGGGCAAGUCUGGUGCCAGCAGCCGCGGUAACUCCAGCUCCAGAAGCGUAUAUUAAAGUUGUUGCAGUUAAAAAGCUCGUAGUUGGAUCUGGGUCGCAUGGCUACGCGCCGUUGCUUGUGAUCUCGGUUUGGUUACGACCGGAUUGAGUUCAUGAGUCGGUGUAGUGGUUGUGCAGCCUUUCUGCCGUGUCUGUUUUACAGGUGCUGGCGGAUUGUUGGGUUCGCCCUUCAGUCUGUCGGCAUGCUUCCGAAUGCCUUUAAACGGGUGUUGGGGGCGGACGGCACGUUUACUUUGAACAA